CCUACGGGUGGCAGCAGUGAGGAAUAUUGGUCAAUGGACGGAAGUCUGAACCAGCCAUGCCGCGUGCAGGAAGACGGCUCUAUGCGUUGUAAACUGCUUUUGUACAAGGGUAAACCUGAAUACGUGUAUUCAGCUGAAAGUACUGUUAGAAUAAGGAUCGGCUAACUUCGUGCCAGCAGCCGCGGUAAUACGGAGGAUACAAGCGUUAUCCGGAUUUAUUGGGUGUAAAGGGUACGUAGGCGGAUUUAUAAGUUAGAGUUGAAAUGUCCGAUCUGAACUCGGGAACUGCCUCUAAUACGGUUGAGCUAGAGAGUAGAAGCGGUAGGCGGAAUGGAUGGUGUAGCGGUGAAAUGCGUAGAGAUCAUACAGAACACCGAUGGCGAAGGCAGCUUACCAAUCUAUAUCUGACGUUGAGGCUCGAAAGCGUGGGGAGCAAACAGGAUUAGAUACCCGAGUAGUC
rnacentral:rRNA from 1 species